CGGGACGUAGCUCAGCUUGGCUAGAGCACCGGCUUUGGGAGCCGGGGGUCGCAGGUUCGAAUCCUGUCGUCCCGAC
rnacentral:tRNA from 3 species